ensembl:lncRNA
CACACACACACACACACACACACACACACACACACACACACACACAGCAGGACAAUGUAUAAAUGACAACUCACUAACCCCGUCUCACCUUAUAGAACAAAAUGUUCUAAAAACGUAAGAGAAAAAAAUACCUGCCAAAUACUUACUUGUAGAAGCAUGUUCUGUAUGAGAUGGAUCUUCGGUUUUGCAGCUCCCCCUCUUGAAGCCAUCAAAGAAAGAAUCUUUGCGGUGUGCUGGUCCAGCUUUGCCAUGAAAGUCGGCUCCAGGGUGACCAUUGUGAGUCUUUGAAAUUCUUCAUUAAUCUAUCAACAUAUUACACAAAUAAGAAUGUUUGUCAUGGCUGAAAACAUGAUCAUUCAAUACUUCAGAGGCUAUACUGUAUAUAAGGAACUAUAUUUACCUGUGUGGCUUCGAAAAGAGCCGGCCAUCUGUCUUUAACUUUGCUGAUUUGUGGUGUCUGAUUAACAAUUUCAUCUCUUCGAAUGGAGAAAGUCUUGGCCAUUUUUUCGGCAAUGACCACGUUGUUGUUUCUCUUCUGGAUUUCAGUAAGAAGCUCGACUCUUUCGCUUUCCAAACUUCCCUUUGUUUCCCCUUUUGGGAGAGGAGGUAAAUAGUUUAUCUCAGCCCUUCUUGGCUUUUUUAUGUUUUUAGCAGGUGCUCGCUCGUUUGGACGUUUGUUUGCAGUCGAAUUCACGUCGAGCUCAGGGCAUCCCAGACCUCUUAGUUUUGUCUGUUGCAUAUUCUCGAAGAAAGUUGUCCAAUCCCGGAUUGCUUUAACUCACUUCAUUUAUUAUAAAGUCUGCAUGUUUCAGUAUGGUAACUGAAGCUAUACGGAGGGAAUUGUAUCUAACACGUGGAGAGGAAAAUACCGUGAUCUACUUCAAGCCCCCGGGCUUAGGCCCGGGGGCUCUCUGCGCCGUCUACCUAUUGAUCUCUGGCCUUCUCCAGCCCCUUGUGUGCUCAGGUAGAGACCGUCAAGUGGUAGAGACCGUCAAGUGGGCGUGGCCUAGUGGGCGUGGCCGGGGUGCCGUAAUGGCUUCGGUUUCUUCGUAUAUAUAUAUAUAUAUAUAUAAAGGUGCAGCUAUCUGUGGCUGGAGCAUCCUCCAAUAAGGUCUUGCUCCCCUUGUGGCUAUGUAUAGUAUUUACGGCUUAUAUGUUUGGUCUUGCUUCAUUGGGUCUAUGUGUAGCUUAGAUUCUUAAAAUACGUAACAUGUCCUAUAGUUCCCCAUUUUAUAUUUCAGUCUUUGAAUCCAUCCAUAGCACUCAUUGUAGGAUCCUGGCUCCUUGAGGCACGGGUGCUUCUGAAUCAAUGCCAGAGCAACAUCAGAGAACUGGUCAAUUGAGGGGUAGGCAACGUAGUGAUAGAUACUUUCAGCCAGCUUUUCAAGGACGUCGUUUAGGAUUGCGUUGACUCUGAAAGGAGUUCCAUCCGUGACGUACUUGUCAUUUCCGUAAGCAAGGACAAGUUCUGUGUCAUAAGCAAACCUUGGGAUUUCGAAUUCAGUUGGCCAGUGCUGGGAACGAUGGCCAUGCUCAGGUGAAGACAGAAUGACGGUAUCCUGAGAGGCAAUGGAGCAACUGCUGCUGCUUCCCACUUCGGUAUGGGCUGAGGAAGAAGGGUUGGAGAUCUGUGAUGCACUUCCAAAGGAACUGUCUAAAUCUGUGAAGGUCAGAGUAACUGUGGGCGGUUCAACAAUAUGAACUUUAAUUGUGUCCCUGUCUUUCAGUUCCCCAGUUGAAUUCAAUGAGAAGUAUUCCUCACCAAAGUCAACGUCCUUGUAAUGUAGAACAAAGUUCCCAGUGAUGCCAAACGUCUCUCUUACAACAGCCUCCAGCUCGCCUACAGUUGCUGGAAUUCCAAGUGGCAGGUCGAGUCUACGAAUGUCAGAUUCCUGAAGAAUGACUCUCAGCUUCGCUCCCAGAGACGCUGUAGUAUCUGUAAACAAAUCCAAACCAUUUCAAUUCCACAGGCUGCCAUAGAAAUCCCAGAAAACAAAGACGCUGAAUAGGGAAACCAUUCAAAUGGGUGCCAGCUGCUGAUUGUCCCCUAACUCAUAACUAUGUACAUCUACAUGAACACCUACUGUUAACAUUUGUUAAACAGCGAUCACUGAUGUUAACAAUUCUACAUGCAUGUGAUGCGUUCUUUACACCAGGUGUUUGAGUAUGGUUUGGUAAUUUAAGUAUGGUCACAUUAAUAAAGAAAUCCAUCUUGUCUUUGUGAAAUCAUUGUCCUAUGUACAGAAUGGUGUCUUGUCGGUAAAGCACAAUGAG